CAGAAAAUUAUUUUUUAUUUACAAUAAAAAUUUGAUUUAAUUUAGUCUUUUCUGA
rnacentral:tRNA from 1 species